UGCAGAGUGGUUGAUCAGUGGCAUUCAACCCUCUUCAGAUUGUAGUCAAGCAUCAGAGAGAGAGAGAGAGAGACAGAAAGGCCAACUCCAGAGUGAAAGUCUUCCCAGUGUGUGUGAGAGCCCGGCUGGAUCAGAGGAUAUAAGGUCCGAUGGGUCGCGCAGCACAGUGUUGACCUCUGGGUGAGCGGGGACUUCCAUCCUGCACAGGGCCUGGGAGAGGACACAGCGGAGGCAGAGAGGGAGCGAGGGGGAGACGGAACACCAUGGGGGGCUCCAUCAGCCAACACAGGAAGAACUCCAAGAGGUCUCCACGCAAGAGAGGCAGCAUUCCUCCUGGCGUCCCCAGAGCCUCCCUCCACCGGAGGCUGAGUCACCGUCCCUCUCCUCCCAGGACUCGUGAGUCAGAGAGGGACGCUUUGAGAUGCCUGGCACCCCCCGGCUCCACCCCCCGGCUCCACCCCCCAGCUGUCAGUGGGGGAGCUGGCAGAGCUGCUCUGUUCCAACAGCGUCCUGACUCACCAGCAGAACACUGUCCCCCCGGGGGGCCGGGGGGCUCACAGACCACAACCCCCCACCGGCCUCACUCAGGUGCUUCCCCCGAGGAUCGAGGGAGCGUUGACAGCGUCGACGCGUGAAGCGCCUUGAGAGUGUGACUGUCGUUGGGAGCUGUACGACCGCCCUGACGGGACGUGUCUCCACAGGGACUCACCGUCUGUCUGCCGGUGCACUGUGGCGCGGCGUACAGUGCUGCAGCGCUCCUUGGGAUGGGUUCUAACCCCUUCCUCGUUGACUAUGCUCACCUAGGACUGGCGAGCGCUUGACUCCGUGACCGCCUGUCAUCUCGUCGACCCCCGACUCCCCCGACUCCCCCCAUCUCCCCCCAUCUCCCUCCUCUUCCUCUUCAUCACCUCUCUGCUCCUCAGGAGACAGUGAGGUCCCGCCGUCGGGCUAAUGGACUCAGCAGACCUGUCCUUAAGACCCCCCCCCCCCUCUGUCGACCCCCAGUGCCUGGAUUGGUGGAG
ensembl:lncRNA